AUACGGAGGAUCCGAGCGUUAUCCGGAUUUAUUGGGUUUAAAGGGUGCGCAGGCGGCCAUUUAAGUCAGCGGUUAAAUCGUGGGGCUCAACCCCAUUCUGCCGUUGAUACUGGGUGGCUUGAUUGCGGUCGAGGUUGGCGGAAUUCGUUGUGUAGCGGUGAAAUGCAUAGAUAUGACACAGAACGCCGAUUGUGAAGACACCUCACGAAGCGGUAACUGACGCUGAGGCACGAAAGCGUGGGGAUCGAACAGGAUUAGAUACCCUGGUAGUCCACGCAGUAAACGAUGAUGACUACCCGUCGGCGAUAGACCGCCGGUGGCCAAGCGAAAGCGAUAAGUCAUCCACCUGGGGAGUACGACCGCAAGGUUGAAACUCAAAUGAAUUGACGGGG
rnacentral:rRNA from 1 species